rnacentral:piRNA from 1 species
UCACCAACAGGGAUUGUGGUCAAACU